GCUGCCCCUAGACGCCCUGCAGGUGUGGCUGCUGUGUCACAUGUAUGUCAGUAGGUGGCAGAGAGGAGAGAGACUAGGUCUAUGCUCACUGUUCUGACCUAUGAACAUCUGAGUGAUUAGUAGUCUAAACU